CAUCAUUCACAAUUAAACCUUCUGCUAGGAGAUCAUGUAUGAUGACUUGCAACUCUUGUACUUGAGAGACAACAGAUUUGUUGUCAAUCAUUUUGAAGUCCAGGAACCGUGCAACAAGGAAUUUCUUAAUUCCCGCAUCUUUCAUGUUAUAUUUCCGUUCAAGUGCCCCCCACAGUUCUUUUGAUGUCUUAGGUCCAAUAUAGACAUUAUAGAGGUCGUCUUGGAGACCACUCAGAAUAUAGUUCCUGCAAAGGAAAUCCGAAUGUUUCCAAGCUUCUACAAUAACGAAGCGGUCCUUGUCCGAGGUUCCCUCGGGCCCCUCGGGAGCGUCUUCGCUAGU
rnacentral:lncRNA from 1 species